CUACGGGUUGCUGCAGUGAGGAAUAUUGCACAAUGGGGGGAACCCUGAUGCAGCAACGCCGCGUGGAGGAUGACGCAUUUCGGUGUGUAAACUCCUUUUAUAUGUCAAGAAAAUGACGGUAGCAUAUGAAUAAGCACCGGCUAACUCCGUGCCAGCAGCCGGCGGUAAUACGGAGGGUGCAAGCGUUACUCGGAAUCACUGGGCGUAAAGGACGCGUAGGCGGGUUGGAAAGUCAGGUGUGAAAUCCUACAGCUUAACUGUAGAACUGCACUUGAAACUUCUAAUCUAGAGUAUGGGAGGGGGAGAUGGAAUUAGUGGUGUAGGGGUAAAAUCCGUAGAUAUCACUAGGAAUACCUAAAGCGAAGGCGAUCUCCUGGAACAUUACUGACGCUAAGGCGUGAAAGCGUGGGGAGCAAACAGGAUUAGAUACCCUGGUAGUC
rnacentral:rRNA from 1 species